rnacentral:rRNA from 1 species
CGAAUGGGGAAACCCAGUGUGAUUCGUCACACUAUCAUUAACUGAAUCCAUAGGUUAAUGAGGCGAACCGGGGGAACUGAAACAUCUAAGUACCCCGAGGAAAAGAAAUCAACCGAGAUUCCCCCAGUAGCGGCGAGCGAACGGGGAGCAGCCCAGAGCCUGAAUCAGUGUGUGUGUUAGUGGAAGCGUCUGGAAAGGCGCGCGAUACAGGGUGACAGCCCCGUACACAAAAAUACACAUAUUGUGAGCUCGAUGAGUAGGGCGGGACACGUGGUAUCCUGUCUGAAUAUGGGGGGACCAUCCUCCAAGGCUAAAUAC